AAGGAAGUGGCAGAGUGGUCAUGCGACUGGCUUGAAACCAGUGCAUGGGGGUUCAAUUCCUCCCUUCCUCG
rnacentral:tRNA from 1 species